CUUCAAAAAUCACAGCACUACUAGUGGUGCGUCAUGGGAAUUACACCGUUUAAGUACUCUGUAAACAGGGCCUUUGACUGCAGGUUUGAGCAAUUAAACAUUGAUCCAGUCUAACCUUUAAUCACAAUUUUAAACAGUAGCUAUUCUUCUUCUGAUGGGAAUUCUGUAAAAGUACUUUUUAAAAUUCCCAUAAACAAAAACAUUUAGGUAGGAGGACCAGGAUUAAGAUGGCUACAUUAAAAAUACAGCCAGAAAAUCAUGAAUGUUCUCUUUUGCAUCUUAGAAUGCCUGUGCAUUUAAAUUGACACAAAAUUUAAACACUUGAAAACUUUGAAUUUGGAAUAUUUAGAUUCUCACAUUUAGCAGAACUAACGUGCUCAAUUUUUAGAAAGAAUACAUUGUUAUUUUUACCUUUUGUUUAAAAUAAAAAACUUGAAAGAACGAUAACAAAAUCUCUGCUGUGUUUACAGGUUGGCAUCUCUAAAGCUGAAUACAUGGGUGGUGCUGUCCAAAAGUUACUGCUGGAUAUUUUCUUCCAGCAGUAACAGAGGGGGUACCACAGCCAGAAUUCAUAUCGACAUGGAGACAGAGAAUGGUAUAAUGAAAGACAUUCAAAGAUUUUUGCGUCUUGAUGACAGCUAUCCUGAAAACUACUUCAUUGUGGGAUCCAGCACCCACAGCCAGCACAUCAACAGCCAGUACUGGAUGAACCUUUUUCAAAAACUGAAGAAUACAGAUUACUUUACUGGUGACUUCUUGGAUAAGCAGCCAAUUCUGCUCACCUGUUUAAAUAUCACUGAGGAAGAACUCUUAAAGUGGUUCACUUAUGGAACAUAAUUCGUAAGAUUAGAGAUACUAUUGCUCCAAGUUGCCGGUCCUACAUGAUGUAUACCCUUCCACGGCUUUUUGGUGAACAAGAUCAUCUCAAACAGGUUUCUGAGCAAGCGGCGGAAACUUGCACAGUCCAACGUCUUCAGAGGACCGUUCACACGUGAUGAGACAGUUCGAAGUAUCAUACCUUCUGAUGACAGAGAACUUUCUUCAUGCACCGUCCACACAUGAUGAAACAAUUGAGUUAUGCUUAUUUUUAAGAGCUUAUAUACGUACAAACCUGUGACACGUGUGAUAUUUUCUUGUAAAAAAAAAAGAGUUUGUGGAGCAAAUGACCUUGUGAGCCUGUCCAGAAUGAACCUGUCACUUUCCCACACAGUCAGAAUUAGGCAGCUGCAGACCCCACAACCCAUAAAGGACAGGCAGUCAAAGAAAUACAGAUGGAGGGGGGAAAAAAACAGACCUGUUUUCUACGAUUCCCAUGUACUUAAAGGUUUCAUCAUGAUGUACAUAACUUUUUGAAUUUUGCUGCUAGGUUUUAUAUUUUCUGUGAUUCUUGUUGUGUUUGACAGCAAAUAUAUGCUGCUACAUACAUUAGGACAAUAACAAGAAAUCUAACUUCACAUUUGCCAUGUAAUCUGUCAUGUAGGACAAAAUGUUUAAAUGACAUGUUCUGUAAACCCCUCCACUGCUCCUCAUAUUCAAGACAUACUUUUUAUAUUUAUAACAGCAAGACUUAUAGUUCUGUUACUGAACACUGAGACCCAAGUUAUGUACUGUUUCACAAUGACGAUAUGGUCGAAUGAUAUAUGAAAACCUUUAAUGAAUCUUUGGUAAAAACCCAUUACAAAA